rnacentral:rRNA from 1 species
UACAGAGGUGGCAAGCGUUGUUCGGAAUUACUGGGCGUAAAGGGCGCGUAGGCGGCCUUCUAAGUCAGACGUGAAAUCCCCCGGCUUAACCUGGGAACUGCGUCUGAUACUGGGAGGCUUGAGUAUGGGAGAGGGAUGUAGAAUUCCAGGUGUAGCGGCGAAAUGCGUAGAUAUCUGGAGGAAUACCGGUGGCGAAGGCGGCAUCCUGGACCAUAACUGACGCUGAGGCGCGAAAGCUAGGGGAGCAAACGGG